CUUCUCCAUUCUCUUCCCCCUUUCUCGACUCCAUCAUUCUCCUUCCAACGAGCACUAGCUGCACGGCUCCCCUGGGAUUGUCCUUGACUCAAUUCCAUCAUUCUCCUUCCGACGACAACGAGUACGGUUUUAACAGGGUACCUAAAAUAUGUGAUUAAUACAGAUUCCAAGGAGGUUCCGAUUUCAUGACUCAACAUGGUAAGGUCCAAUUUCAAAAUCUUGAAACAUGUCCCUUAUUGGGUAUGGUUCGAAUAUCGUGAAAAAAAAAAAGUAUCUAGACCCGCACGGGCCUAGUGAGAAA